rnacentral:lncRNA from 1 species
GGAAAACACUAGCAUCCUGGUUCUUCCUGGUACAUUUCCAGAGUCCUGAAGGUUAUUCUCCAACCUUCCAGACUACAACAUGCACCCUUUGCUUAGGUGACACUUUUGAAACUCAGCUUCCUUCCUCAGGGAGCAGUUGUUUUCCUUGGAUUUCCUUCUGCUCUGACAGACCCACCAACCUGACCUCGCACCUACAGAGAAGAACUGAGACAGGAAGUACAUAUUAUCAGAAAGAAAUGAAAACCAUAAUAUACCAGGACAUUUUUACAGUCCUAUCUUUUGGGUUACAGACAUUGACCAUGCCUUACAGCAAAGCAGGCUCACGUUUUAUUCCUUAGUGGGGAUGAAACGGAGACAGAGAAAGGAGAAGCAGAGGGAACGGGAAGGCAUACAUUGUCCAGGAGUCUGCCUUUGGAGCCAGAACUGGACUCAAGAUACAGUGUAGGGGAAAACAGUCUAUGCUAUCACCUACUUGGCCUCAGGAGGACAGUUACACUUUACACUCCACUCCGUUAUUUGGAAAUGAAUUACUUCCUCUGUCCUGGAAUAAUCUACUCUGUUUUGAACUCAGGGGAAGCAGACAGAAUCAAGACUACUGGACAGUUUUGCCUCCUUUGCCCAAAUGUCCAUUCUACCUUGUCUGAUCUUCCUACUACCCACUCGGUGUCAGGACUGUCUACUCCUCUGGCUGUGGGGAAGUAUAAAUAAUGUUUAGUGAAAUGUAUUUUCAUAUUAUCAAAGCA